rnacentral:rRNA from 1 species
CUUGACCUCGGAUCAGGUAGGGAUACCCGCUGAACUUAAGCAUAUCAAUAAGCGGAGGAAAAGAAACCAACUGGGAUU